UAAAUAAACAAUUAUCAUUAGCUUAUUAUUAAUUUAUUUGUACGAACUGAAUCAGGUUUCACACAAACAAUAUAAGCAUUCACCUCCAGGCAAUAUUUCUAGUACAUAUAUAAACUCAUUUCAUGGUACUUCUCAGUUCUUUCGGCAUCAACAUGUGCUACUACUGCCUUCCAUGCAACUGCUCUUAUCCUUGUCAUAACCUCGGUUAACACAGUUAGCUUUGCACGCAAUGUUGCCACUAGCUCGGUCUGGUGGCGAACAAUUGUCCACAGUUGUACACAGGUCAGUAUAUGUGCACAAAUCACAAUAGAGAUACCUCAAUCAACACAUAUAACCCAGCAGGAAAAUAUAUGUUUCUGUAUCCAAAUACGAGUGAAGAGAUUGUGAAAGAAAGAAGAAAACCAUACCUACAUAACGCCCUGCUGCAUGACAUGAGAAGACAGUGGUGGCCAUGGCUACAAGAGCUACCAAGCAUACGGCCUGUGUGUAGUUCCGCAUACCGGCCAUGGGAGAUAGUUAGCUAUUCCCUUUCUGCUA
rnacentral:lncRNA from 1 species